rnacentral:rRNA from 1 species
UACGGGGGGGAGCAAGCGUUGUUCGGAUUUACUGGGCGUAAAGGGCGCGUAGGCGGCCACCGCAAGUCGGUUGUGAAAUCUCUGGGCUUAACCCAGAAAGGUCAACCGAUACUGCGGGGCUAGAGUGCAGAAGGGGCAACUGGAAUUCUCGGUGUAGCGGUGAAAUGCGUAGAUAUCGAGAGGAACACCUGCGGCGAAGGCGGGUUGCUGGGCUGACACUGACGCUGAAGCGCGAAAGCUAGGGGAGCGAACGGG